CGCAAGCCUGUUGGGCGUGAUUUAUGCUUGUCAUAGUUACUCUGAGA
rnacentral:snoRNA from 1 species